AACGAACGCUGGCGGCAUGCCUAACACAUGCAAGUCGAACGAGACCUUCGGGUCUAGUGUCGCCCGGGUUCGUAACGCGUGGGAACCUGCCCUUAGGUUCGGAAUAACUCCCCGAAAGGGGUGCUAAUACCGGAUAAUGUCUUCUGACCAAAGAUUUAUCGCCGUUGGAUGGGCCCGCGUUGGAUUAGCUAGUUGUUAGGGUAAAAGCCUACCAAGGCGACGAUCCAUAGCUGGUCUGAGAGGAUGAUCAGCCACACUGGGACUGAGACACGGCCCAGACUCCUACGGGAGGCAGCAGUGGGGAAUAGUGGAAAAUGGGCGAAAGCCUGAUCCAGCAAUGACGCGUGAGUGAUGAAGGCAGUAGGGUUGUAAAGCUCUUUUAACCGGGAUGAUAAUGACAGUACCGGGAGAAUAAGCCCCGGCUAACUCCGUG
rnacentral:rRNA from 1 species